GGAGACAGGAAGCCAACAAACUACAUGU
rnacentral:piRNA from 1 species